UACGAAGGGUGCAAGCGUUACUCGGAAUUACUGGGCGUAAAGCGUGCGUAGGUGGUGAGUUAAGUCUGAUGUGAAAUCCCCGGGCUCAACCUGGGAAUGGCAUUGGAUACUGGCUCGCUAGAGUGCGGUAGAGGGUGGUGGAAUUCCCGGUGUAGCAGUGAAAUGCGAAGAGAUCGGGAGGAACAUCUGUGGCGAAGGCGGCCACCUGGACCUACACUGACACUGAGGCACGAAAGCGUGGGGAGCAAACAGG
rnacentral:rRNA from 1 species